AUUUCCUCCCUCGCCACCAGCAGACCAUGUCGAGCACCGUCAUGGCCUCGGCCCCUUCCUUCACCUCCACCUCCCAACAAUUCCUCUCUCGAGUCGCCCCCCCGUGCCCUAUCCGGCUGCCCACCGUCUCCGUUAUCGCCAGAGCCGCUCACGAGAACGGCGGCAAACCGCGCCUUCCCUCCCGCCUCCUUAAACGCCUGGCCCUCUCGUCGCGGCAUGCUGCGAUCGCCGCCGCCGCCGCCGCUGCGAUGGUGGCCGCCUCGCCGCUACCGGCCCUGGCUGAGCAGAUGGAGAAGGCGGCGCUCUUCGACUUCAACCUGACUCUGCCCGCGAUCGCCAUCGAGUUCCUGCUGCUGAUGGUGGCGCUGGACAAGAUCUACUUCACGCCCCUGGGCAAGUUCAUGGACGAGAGGGACGCCGCCAUCCGCGCGAAGCUGUCCGACGUGAAGGACACGUCGGGGGAGGUGAAGGAGCUGGAUGAUCAGGCGGCGGCGGUGAUGAAGGCGGCGCGGGCGGAGAUCUCGGCGGCGCUGAACCAAAUGAAGAAGGAGUCGUCGGCGGAGCUGGAGCAGAAGCUGGCGGAGGGGCGGAAGCGUGUGGAGGCGGAGCUGGCGGAGGCGCUUCAGAACUUGGAGAGGCAGAAGGAGGAGAC
rnacentral:lncRNA from 1 species